rnacentral:rRNA from 1 species
ACCGGCGCACGGGUGAGUAACGCGUAUCCAACCUUCCCGCAAGUAAGGGAUAACCCGUAGAAAUGCGGCCUAAUACCUUAUGACUUUCCUUAGAGGACAUCUGAUGAGGAACAAAGAUCCGUCGGCUUGGGGAUGGGGAUGCGUCUGAUUAGCUUAGUCGGCGGGGUAACGGCCCACCGAGACGACGAUCAGUAGGGGUUCUGAGAGGAAAGUCCCCCACAUUGGAACUGAGACACGGUCCAAACUCCUACGGGAGGCAGCAGUGAGGAAUAUUGGUCAAUGGGCGAGAAGCCUGAACCAGCCAAGUAGCGUGCAGGACGACGGCCCUAUGGGUUGUAAACUGCUUUUAUGCGGGAAUAAAGUGAGCCACGUGAGGCCUUUUGCAGGUACCGCAUGAAUAAGGACCGGCUAAUUCCGUGCCAGCAGCCGCGGUAAUACGGAAGGUCCGGGCGUUAUCCGGAUUUAUUGGGUUUAAAGGGAGCGCAGGCCGCAGAUCAAGCGUGUUGUGAAAUGCAGACGCUCAACGUCUGCACUGCAGCGCGAACUGCCCACCUUGAGUGCGCGCAACGUUGGCGGAAUUCGCCGUGUAGCGGUGAAAUGCUUAGAUAUGGCGAAGAACUCCGAUUGCGAAGGCAGCUGACUGGAGCGUAACUGACGCUCAUGCUCGAAAGUGCGGGUAUCGAACAGGAUUAGAUACCCUGGUAGUCCGCACGGUAAACGAUGGAUGCCCGCUAUUCGGC